GGAGAGAUGGCUGAGUGGUUGAAGGCAUCGCUUUCGAAAAGCGACAAGGGGUUAUUCCCUUCGUGGGUUCAAAUCCCACUCUCUCCG
rnacentral:tRNA from 1 species